AUUGAACGCUGGCGGCAGGCCUAACACAUGCAAGUCGAGCGGAUGAAGGGAGCUUGCUCCUGGAUUCAGCGGCGGACGGGUGAGUAAUGCCUAGGAAUCUGCCUGGUAGUGGGGGAUAACGUCCGGAAACGGGCGCUAAUACCGCAUACGUCCUGAGGGAGAAAGUGGGGGAUCUUCGGACCUCACGCUAUCAGAUGAGCCUAGGUCGGAUUAGCUAGUUGGUGGGGUAAAGGCCUACCAAGGCGACGAUCCGUAACUGGUCUGAGAGGAUGAUCAGUGACACUGGAAGUGAGACACGGCCGAGACUCCGGGGGGGGGCAGCAGGGGGGAAUAUUGAGAAAUGGGCGAAAGCCUGAUGCCGAGCUGGGGCGGGGGUGAGGAAGGUGUUGGGAGUGUAAAAAUCUUUUAGGGGGGAAGAAGAGAUGUGUAAGUAACUGUUGUGUUUUUGACGGUAAACAAAAAGAAAGCCACCGCUCACUCCGUG
rnacentral:rRNA from 1 species